CUAAAUAUAGUCAGCUGAGAACUCCAGAGCUUUGGGGAUAGUAAUAAUGACAGUGAUGGUGAUGGGAUUGUGUGCAUUUGCUGUGCACCAGACACCAAGCUGAAGGUUUUACACACAUUCUCAGCCUGAGGAAGAGAUUCGGUGUACCCCCUGUUGGCUUAAUUUAUUUGGAGAGGCAUCAAGUGGCAGAGCUAGAAAGAGUGUGUAAAGCUUACAGGGCAGCAUUGGCCUGAUACAAAAGGAGCAAUCAGCUGUCCAGCAGGGUCAAAAGGACAACCCCGAUGGCUGGCCAGGCCCAUCCCAUUGAGGUAGGCUCGUUGGGAUGUAGGGUCUGAGAUUCCUCCAGCAUCUGCCUACCUGACCGGAAUCUGUAUGAGGUUUAUAAAAAGGAGGAAAAUGGUCUAUGAACCACUCAAGAAUAUUUUGAAUCUCUAUACAAAAUGGCUUUGCUAUUCCUUGUAAAUGUGAAUGGACUUGAGCAAAUGGGGAUUCAGACAACAGUUUCUGGGUGCAGAAGUGAGCAAGAUAGAGGACCGGCUCCAGGACCAUGAGCUCCCUCCCUCUCCAGGGCCUCUCUGUAGAACACUUUGUACAUUUGACAUCUGGUUCCCAGUGGUGUGGCUAACUCCCUGACAAAUUCCUCACUGUAACCAAGUUGGGAAUUCUUAAGACUUUCCACCACAGAAAGUGGGCAGGCCCUGCUGGGUAUGAAAUCAGGCAAUGUUGUCCUCUUGGCCCUGGAGAGCUUUCUUAUUUAGCAACCCUCUGGGCUGCAGAAGAUGAUGACCACCUGUUCCCAGAUUUCCAACCUGAAUUAAACAUGAAUGCCAGUAUAUACAGCAAAUGAA
rnacentral:lncRNA from 1 species